rnacentral:lncRNA from 1 species
CUGGGAGGGAGAUGGGUGAGGGAUAUGUUAAAUUAUCUUCAAACUGAAUUGUAAUUCCAAUACCUGAAUCUGGGUUUAAUCCAGAAAACCCAGACAGACCUGGAGUUUCUUCUAUGUGGGUACAUCUUGAGGGACAGAGCCUAUGGCCUGCUCCCUCCCUGUCUCCUCGCCUGUAAUUAGGUUGCUUCUCAGUGCCUGGCAUAUAAAGGGCUGGUACCGCAGAGGAGACAGAGGAGUGAGAAAACUGAUAAGCCAAUUUGCAGAUGACCCUUGUAGGAUGCAGGAGUUUGCAUCUCCGUGUCUGUGUCUGUACAUGCAAAGUGAAGGAUCAUGGAGGCAUCAUCAAAAGUCAUUGUGCACACAACUUUCUGCAGAUGCCAUCACCUGCCUGGGAUGCUGGAACCACAGACGCCAUCUUGGACUGUUGGGGAGCAGUUUGUUUAGGAGGAAAUGCCAGCACCCGAGGAUGGCAGAGCAGAAGUGAUGGAGACCUCACCGACUGCCUGAAUUAACCAAUCCUGGAAUUACACGCUGCUCUGGGCUUCUUGUUGCUUAUAAUAUGGGACCAUCCAGCUGCUGGAAAACAAGCUCAGGGUUCCCAUUGAUUGUACCUUAUGGCUGUGCAGUAAUUCCUG